AUUGAACGCUGGCGGCAUGCCUUACACAUGCAAGUCGAACGGCAGCGGGGACUUCGGUCCGCCGGCGAGUGGCGAACGGGUGAGUAAUAUAUCGGAACGUACCUUUCAGUGGGGGAUAACGUAGCGAAAGUUACGCUAAUACCGCAUAUUCUGUGAGCAGGAAAGCAGGGGACCUUUGGGCCUUGCGCUGAUUGAGCGGCCGAUAUCAGAUUAGCUAGUUGGUGAGGUAAAGGCUCACCAAGGCGACGAUCUGUAGCGGGUCUGAGAGGAUGAUCCGCCACACUGGAACUGAGACACGGUCCAGACUCCUACGGGAGGCAGCAGUGGGGAAUUUUGGACAAUGGGGGCAACCCUGAUCCAGCCAUGCCGCGUGCAGGAAGACGGCCCUAUGGGUUGUAAACUGCUUUUGUACCGGAGAAAACCUCCCCUCGUGAGGGGAGCUGAUAGUAUGGUAAGAAUAAGCAUCGGCUAACUUCGUGCCAGCAGCCGCAGUAACAC
rnacentral:rRNA from 1 species